rnacentral:rRNA from 1 species
UACGAAGGGGGCUAGCGUUGUUCGGAAUCACUGGGCGUAAAGGGUGCGCAGGCGGCCAAGUGUGUGAGGCGUGAAAGCCUGGGGCUUAACUCCAGAAUUGCACCUCAAACUACAUGGCUAGAGCAUUGGAGAGGGUAGCAGAAUUCACGGUGUAGCAGUGAAAUGCGUAGAUAUCGUGAGGAAUACCAGAGGCGAAGGCGGCUACCUGGACAAUUGCUGACGCUCAGGCACGAAAGCGUGGGGAGCAAAAGGG